AACCAACGCUGGCGGCAUGCCUAACACAUGCAAGUCGAACGAGACCUUCGGGUCUAGUGGCGCACGGGUGCGUAACGCGUGGGAACCUGCCCUUAGGUUCGGAAUAACCCCCCGAAAGGGGUGCUAAUACCGGAUAAUUUCUUCGGACCAAAGAUUUAUCGCCUUUGGAUGGGCCCGCGUUGGAUUAGCUAGUUGGUAGGGUAAAAGCCUACCAAGGCGACGAUCCAUAGCUGGUCUGAGAGGAUGAUCAGCCACACUGGGACUGAGACACGGCCCAGACUCCUACGGGAGGCAGCAGUGGGGAAUAUUGGACAAUGGGCGAAAGCCUGAUCCAGCAAUGCCGCGUGAGUGAUGAAGGCCUUAGGGUUGUAAAGCUCUUUUACCCGGGAUGAUAAUGACAGUACCGGGAGAAUAAGCUCCGGCUAACUCCGUG
rnacentral:rRNA from 1 species